UACAUCUGAACCUACUUUCAUACAACUGAACCAACAUAUCAAAAGUGUGGUCUUUGUUUGUCUAAAAAUAUAUUCCAAGACUUAUAAAAGAAAGAAAGAAGAAAAUAAGGAUUUGAAAAGUCUUGUUACCCAAAAUGUGCAUUAACAUCAAGAAAGUAAAGUUGGAAUUGUUUAACAAGAACCACAAAAUGAAGAAUUAGUUUUUUCCAUGCCGACUAUUUUAAAAACAAUGCUACUCUAAAGUAACAAUUUCACUUGUAUCAAUUACAUCUAGAACAAUAUUCCUAGGCCGAGGCGGAUCGCCUUUAUCACUUGUGUACCCUUGUUUUGCCUUUUCGACUCCGUCAUACCAUAGUAAUGAAGAAUAUCGUGCAUGUUGACUUGCGACAUCAAACCCACGUGAAUGAAGUUGGUGCCUUCCACUUAAUAUUUCUGCGUAGACAAAGACAAAAACCCCAUAGUCCCUGAUUUCAAAAAUAUAAAAUAAAAUACUAAUCAGUACAUUACUUAUAACAUCGUUAUACAUGAAAAAAACUGUAAUUUACUCACAAACUAUCAAACGCUUGUUGUGGGAUGUUUUGAACAUAGUCAACAUCAAAUGGGAUUUCAUUAACAAGAUGUAUAAUACGCUGGUAUAGAUGUAUGAAUGUAGGUUCAGAUGUAUGAUAUGUUGGUUCAGAUGUAUGACAGUAGGUUCAGAUGUAUGAUAUGUUGGUUCAGAUGUAUGACAGUAGGUUCAGAUGUAUGAUAUGUUGGUUCAGAUGUAUGACAGUAGGUUCAUAUAUAUGGUAGCACAUGUCAAAAUUAAUAAAAGUUGUUAGACAUGUAUAAGGGAACUUAUUUAUGUACAAACAAAUUGCAUUAAUGUAUAAUAAAAUCAACCCUAACCGCUAUAGAGUUGCACAUGUAUGAGGGAAACUUAUACAUCUAACAUUUCAUAUUAGACUCUACUAAAAGUACAUAUCAACAUGUAUGAGGGUAACUUAUACGGCAAAAUUUUAUUUAGAACCAUAAUUAAACUUAAUAUCAUCUUUAUUAGUCGAAUAAGAAUUUGAAUAAGAACUAACAACUUUAGAACAAAAUAUACAAAGAUCAGACUUUUAAUAAACGGAAAAAAAAUUAUAUUAUCGAACUAUCACACUGAAAUGGAUUUACAAUAGCAAUUAAUUUCAUAAAAAACAAACAUGCAACCAAAAAUCGAACCAGAUUGUGAUUUGAUAAAGUUGAAAAAAAAUUGAAAAUUAAUGGAAAAAAAGUACAUAAGUCCAACAAAUGUUUGAUAACUUAAAAAUUGGUAACCUCUAAGUAUACGAUUGCUUGAAAUUGAGCGUGGAAAAAUGUUUUUCAUAUGUUCUCAUAUGGAAAAGAGAGAUAAAUUGAAUGGGAAGGUGGAUACAAGAGAUUUAUUAAUUUUUUCUUUUCGGAUCUACUAUCCCCACUUCAUGGCGAUUGGAGAAGAAUUUCCUUCAAGCAUAUACUUAACUUCAAUUUUUUUGGUAGCACUGAAAACUUAGGUUCAACAAAUUUGUUGUUUUUACUUUUUGGAUCUUGAAAGAUUGAUUGCAAAAUCUGACAAAAAAAAAAUGGGGCUUAACAUACACUUUGAAAUUCAAAUACAAGUUCAUAUAAAUAUCCAACACACAAAAAAAACUAAAGGUAGCUAAUUAGGUGCAUGACUUUAAAAACACUAAACAACCUAAUCAUUUCAGUUUCCUUAAUUUAAGGAAUUUGUGUUUCCUCAUACAUCCGACACAUGUAUAAUAAAUGGCCAAAUGUAUUAGUAUUUUUGUUGAAAUUAGGGAGAGAGAAAACCAAUGGAGAUUUUGUGUAAUUACUUUCUUUGGAUUUUUUUGUGGUUUUCCCAUUUUAAAAAGGGCACAACAGGCCCAUCAUACACAGGUUCAUCAGUGUUUGCUUUGAUCAGAGAGUAAACAAAAUCCAGUGGUUCCAUCCAUGCUACAAAACAGGUACUGCUUGUUAACUUCUGCCCUUGCUUCGCAAGCUUGUCAGCUACACUGUUAUGUAUCUAGGCUCAUGCAGUAGCCUCGGGGUCCCCAAGUUGAGGAGAAGAUCCCUGCACGACAGUAGUAAAUUGUUAUUAGUUUGUACAAAUAAACCCAAAGAGUUAAUUACCUCAAGUGAGUCCAUAGCAAUUUCCAGAUGGGAGACCUGUAUAUUCUGAGCAACCUCAAACUCAAAGAAUAAAUACAGACAAAAAUCAUUUUGAUAUGCUUUUUUCUGAAAAUAUUUUAUGGCCUAGACGUCGUAGAGAAUUGAGAAUUCAAAGUUUUUUUAAUUCUAUGAGAAGGCCAAAUAGGAGGCCAGUUAAUUCAGCUUCAAAGGGGGAAUGGACGGUGAUUUUUGCACUAUAACCCUUUACCCAUGUUCCAAGUGGGUCUCAAAAUACUCCUCCCGCACCAGCAGUCUUUGUUAAGUAAUUGUGGGAACCAUCAAAGUUUAGUUUGAGACCCUUUUCAGGUGGUUUCCAGGUUGUUUUAGGUUCCAAAGUAACCUUAGGAUGAUUUGUGGUCAAGAAUAAAUAUUCCGCAGCCCGAGUAAAAGGAGUUGAGACAUCAAUGUUAAUUUUGGACUCGUUAUAAAGGUUAUGAUUUCGGGUGAGCCAAACAUACCACAUGUAGAAAGGGAAAGCAUCUUUCUAGAUUAUUAACUUGUUAAGCGGAGGAAUUAGGAGAUUUCUGCACUUUCAUAACCAAUCAUUCCCAUUGUAUAUCGCAAUAUUUUGGAAAGCAGGUGGAAGGCACAGUUGGCUCCAAAAUAUUUGCACAGUGGGACAUUGGAAAAAGAUAUGCUGUAAUGUUUCAGGAGCAUUACAAAUUGCACAGUUAGGAUCAUUAAUUAUAGAAAGGCGAUGGAGAUAGACUUUUGUCGGAAGUCGACCAUGGUUGCUUAGCCAAAGGAAAAAUUUAAUUUUGUUAGGACAUCUAAGCUUCCAAAUCCAACGGGACUCGGGGGAUCAAGUGUUUGGUUGCACAAUUUUUUCCUGGAGGAGACGCGCAUAGGCGCUCUUUGUAGUAAAUAUGCCAUUUGGUGUUAGAGACCAUAACCGUAAGUCUCUCAUACGAGAAGACGAAGGAAUGGGGAUGGAUUUGAUAAGGAGUUCAGUUUCUAAGGAAAGAGCGUAAGUCAUAUUAUCAGUAUUCUAUUUCCCAUCAUUGCAAAGGACCAUGAAGGAGCUGUGAUAGGGGUUUGUUGUGGUGGAUCCAGUUAUCAGCCCAGAGGGAGAUAUUAGUACCAUUACCUAAAGUCCAUCGCAUGUUCUCUGCACAGAUACUCCAACCAGUCAUAAGGUUUUUCCAAAUGAAGCUAGGCUUUUUAAUAUGCUUAGAAGUGUCCAGCAGUCCGUACCCACGAGUAUAUUUGUGGAUAAGGACGGAUGCCCAUAGGGAGUUGGGAUUUUUUAAUAGUCGCCAAACAAGACGAGCUAAGAGGGCCUCAUUUUUAACACUACUCUUCUGGAUGGCUAGACCACCUUGGUCUUUAGGGAGACACAAGGUGUCCCACUUAAUAAGGUGUAAUUUCUUGCGAGUAGUUGUUGUGCCCUAUAUAAGUUACGUUGGAAGCGAUCAAUUUGUUUGGACACCCCGAUUGAAAACAUAAUGUAGUACAUGAGGUGCGUAGGUAUACUGUUUAGGGAUGCUUUAACAAGAGUUGUUCGGCCAGCUAAAGUAAGGAACUUUGUUUUUCAUCCCAUUAGCUUCUUUUGAAGGUUAUCCAGGACAAUGCGGAGAUCCGCUUUUGAGGGAUUUUUAUUGAGAACUGGAAAACUAAGUAUUUUCCAAAGUCGUUACUUUUUCUAAUGUUGAAGAAAGAGGACAACAACUUUUGGGUGCUGGUAGGGCAAUUAUUAGAGAAGAGAAUUUUGGAUUUCUGAAGAUUAAUACUUUGCCCCGACCAAUUACAGAAGUUCGAUAAGGUCGUCAUCAAAGAUUUGUGACUAUUCCCACUAACAUUAGACAUACAGACUAGAUCAUCGGCGAAAAAGAGGUGGGACAGGGCUGGGCCACCUUGGGAGAUUUGAAUGGGGAUCCAGUUCUUUUUAAAGAUAGCUUCAUUGAUAUUGUGAGAAAGAACUUCCAUGCAUAAAAUAAAAAUAUACAGUGAAAUAGGGGCCCUUUACAGAAUACCUCUAGAUGGGCUGAAGAAUUUCGCUCUUUGACCAUUUAUGAGGACAACAGCAGUACUAGAACAAAUACAGUGCAUGAUAAGAUUAACUAGAGUGGAAGAAAAGUUAUAGUAGAGGAGGGUAUUGCGGAUGAACGACCAUUCCAGCUUAUCGAAAGCCUUUUUGAGAUCUAUUUUCAUUAAAAAAGAGCUAGCUUUCCCUUUAGUUUUCCUAAGAUAGUUAACAAUUUCUUGGACAAUGAUGGCAUUAUCGCCAACUAGUCAAUUCUUAAGAAAGCUGGAUUGACAAGGCCCGAUUAAAUCACACAUUAAAGGUCGUAGUAUCCUAGCUAUGAGUUUGGUAAUGAUUUUGUAGGAGGUAUUGCAAAGGCUGAUAGGUCGAAAAUUUUUUAGAGUGGUUGCAUUGUUACAUUUUGGAAUCUAACAGAUAUGUGUUUGGUUAAUUUCUUCCAAAAUCUUUCCAGUUUGGAAAUCUAUCCGGCAAAGAGUAGUAGUAGAAGAAGGGGUGUAGGCCGUCAGGGCCAGGGGCUUUGUAGGGGUGGAAGGAGAAGACAGUGUCUCGUACUUCUUUUUCAGUCGGGAGAUCCACCAGCCUUAAUUUAUCUAAUUCAGUAAUCAUAUUAGCACUAAGGGCAGGGAUGAUCGCAAUAGUCUUACUAUGAAUAGUUUGGAAUAAAUUAUUGAAAAAGCAGUAAGAAUGAACCAUGAUACUCUCUUGGUCAUUAAUCCAAUUGUUAUUCUCGUCCUGAAGGGAGAGAAUUCUAUUUCUCUUUCGUCUGAGCAGAAUGGAUGUAUGAAAAUUUUUUGUGUUCGCAUCCUCCUCUUGGAGCCAAUUAAUUCUUGAUUUAAGCUUCCAAAACUCUUCUUCAAUUUUUAGGAUAUGGUUGAAUUUUUAGGAUAUGGUUGAAGUCUCCAAUAAGUUCAUGUUCAAGAUUAGUAAGGAAGGCACUAUUUGGAUAAUUGGGUGAGUUUUGGAUCCCUUGCAGUCUUUUUAAAAUAAUAUUCUUUUUAUGAAAGAUAUUACCAAAAGUUUUCUUAUUCCACUUGGCGACAUCAUCCUGAAACUGAUUUAUAGCAGUAGGCAAGUAUGGGUGGUGGUCCCAAGCAUUUUUUACUAGAGACGGAAAGUCAGAAUGGGAGGACCAAAUAGUUUCAAACCUAAAGAUGUUAGACUUAGCCCUAGGUUCUUUUUUAUACAGUUGGAGGAGAAG
rnacentral:lncRNA from 1 species